rnacentral:rRNA from 1 species
GAUGAACGCUGGCGGCGUGCCUAAUACAUGCAAGUCGAGCGAACGGGCGAGAAGCUUGCUUUUCUGAUGUUAGCGGCGGACGGGUGAGUAACACGUGGAUAACCUACCUAUAAGACUGGGAUAACUUCGGGAAACCGGAGCUAAUACCGGAUAAUAUUUUGAACCGCAUGGUUCAAAAGUGAAAGACGGUCUUGCUGUCACUUAUAGAUGGAUCCGCGCUGCAUUAGCUAGUUGGUAAGGUAACGGCUUACCAAGGCAACGAUGCAUAGCCGACCUGAGAGGGUGAUCGGCCACACUGGAACUGAGACACGGUCCAGACUCCUACGGGAGGCAGCAGUAGGGAAUCUUCCGCAAUGGGCGAAAGCCUGACGGAGCAACGCCGCGUGAGUGAUGAAGGUCUUCGGAUCGUAAAACUCUGUUAUUAGGGAAGAACAUAUGUGUAAGUAACUGUGCACAUCUUGACGGUACCUAAUCAGAAAACCACGGCUAACUACGU